CACUGCAAGGUGGCGCGGACAGGCACUUUGGCACGCACUCGCGUGGCCCACAAGCUUUUGUGGUCGACUGUCCAAUGCAAGAGGCUGCACUUACAUACAUCGUUGGGCUUCAGAAGCACCGACACCUGACGACAGCUACGGAUGCAAAGCUCUGAGGGUUCAAGCACCACAAGUCUGCUGCCCUCUACUUGCACAAGCCAGGAACUUGAGAAGUCUGCGUCAGGCUGCGUAGGAUACUGCCAUUAGUAGGGACCCAUUAUGAUUUAUAAAUGGACUCUGCAUGCUGUCAGUAAUUUUGCCAAUCUCUUGCAUCAUUUUCAAAAGAAAGAAAACAUGUCAUGGCUUU